GUGCACUUGUCUCAGUGGUUAGAGCUCCCUUCUAGAUUCUGGGGAAAUUAGGUCAUGUGUUUGAGUCUCGUAGUGCACA
rnacentral:tRNA from 1 species